AUUGAACGCUGGCGGCAUGCCUUACACAUGCAAGUCGAACGGCAGCACGGGAGCAAUCCUGGUGGCGAGUGGCGAACGGGUGAGUAAUAUAUCGGAACGUGCCCGGUCGUGGGGAUAACGUAGCGAAAGCUACGCUAAUACCGCAUACGAUCUACGGAUGAAAGCGGGGGAUCGCAAGACCUCGCGCGAUUGGAGCGGCCGAUAUCAGAUUAGGUAGUUGGUGAGGUAAAGGCUCACCAAGCCGACGAUCUGUAACUGGUCUGAGAGGACGACCAGCCACACUGGGACUGAGACACGGCCCAGACUCCUACGGGAGGCAGCAGUGGGGAAUUUUGGACAAUGGGCGCAAGCCUGAUCCAGCAAUGCCGCGUGCAGGAUGAAGGCCUUCGGUU
rnacentral:rRNA from 1 species